rnacentral:rRNA from 1 species
AUUGAACGCUGGCGGCAGGCCUAACACAUGCAAGUCGAGCGAGCGUCGGACGGGUGAGUAAUGUAUGUGGGCUGCCCGAUAGAGGGGGAUAACUACUGUAAACGGUGUCUAAUACCCCAUACUCUCUGGUAACCCAUAUGGGAUUAGCUAUUAGGUAAGGUAAUGGCUUACCUAGGCGACGAUCCCUAGCUGGUCUGAGAGGAUGAUCAGCCACAAUGGGACUGAGACACGGCCCAGACUCCUACGGAGGCAGCAGUGGGGAAUAUUGCACAAUGGGCGCAAGCCUGAUGCAGCCAUGCCGCGUGUAUGAAGAAGGCCCUAGGGUUGUAAAGUACUUUCAGUCGGGAGGCGUUACCGACAGAAGAAGCACCGGCUAACUCCGUGCCAGCCGCCGCGGUAAUAC